AUUGAACGCUGGCGGCAGGCCUAACACAUGCAAGUCGAACAGUAACAGGAAGAAGCUUGCUUCUUUGCUGACGAGUGGCGGACGGGUGAGUAAUGUCUGGGAAACUGCCUGAUGGAGGGGGAUAACUACUGGAAACGGUAGCUAAUACCGCAUAAUGUCGCAAGACCAAAGAGGGGGACCUUCGGGCCUCUUGCCAUCGGAUGUGCCCAGAUGGGAUUAGCUAGUAGGUGGGGUAACGGCUCACCUAGGCGACGAUCCCUAGCUGGUCUGAGAGGAUGACCAGCCACACUGGAACUGAGACACGGUCCAGACUCCUACGGGAGGCAGCAGUGGGGAAUAUUGCACAAUGGGCGCAAGCCUGAUGCAGCUAUGCCGCGUGUAUGAAGAAGGCCUUCGGGUUGUAAAGUACUUUCAGCGGGGAGGAAGGGAGUAAAGUUAAUACCUUUGCUCAUUGACGUUACCCGCAGAAGAAGCACCGGCUAACUCCGUG
rnacentral:rRNA from 1 species